GAGUUUGAUCGUGGCUCAGAUUGAACGCUGGCGGCAGGCCUAACACAUGCAAGUCGAACGGUAACAGGAAACAGCUUGCUGUUUCGCUGACGAGUGGCGGACGGGUGAGUAAUGUCUGGGAAACUGCCUGAUGGAGGGGAUAACUACUGGAAACGGUAGCUAAUACCGCAUAACGUCGCAAGACCAAAGAGGGGGACCUUCGGGCCGUCUUGCCAUCGGAUGUGCCCAGAUGGGAUUAGCUAGUAGGUGGGGUAACGGCUCACCUAGGCGACGAUCCCUAGCUGGUCUGAGAGGAUGACCAGCCACACUGGAACUGAGACACGGUCCAGACUCCUACGGGAGGCAGCAGUGGGGAAUAUUGCACAAUGGGCGCAAGCCUGAUGCAGCCAUGCCGCGUGUAUGAAG
rnacentral:rRNA from 1 species